rnacentral:lncRNA from 1 species
UUGGGUUCUGAAUUCAGUUCUAGUUUAUUAUAAGAUAGAUUGGGAGUUUGAGCAGCAAAUUGGUGCCCUUUUUAAUGACAAUGUAAAUUAGCAUGUUAUCUAUAACUUGACAUUCAAAACAAAACAAAGAAAAAAAAUAAACAGCAGUAGUAGCACUUUUCAUUUCUAAGUUAGAAUGUCAUAUAUACUUCACCGGAAGGGACCCUUGGUGUAAUGAGUAAAGUUGUUCUUAUGACACCAGAAGGUCAUGAGUUCAAGCUGUGGAAACGAGCUUAGUGCACGAGAUUACCUUUUUAAUGUCAUACUUCACCAAAAUUAACGUCCGCCACUAUUACAGCAAGAGUCAUUAGUCUUUUUACUGACCUGCACUAAAUAUUGAUAAUUGAUUGAUAUUGUGGUUAAUAAUGGAAGAGAUCGAUCAGGGAAAAGAGAUAGAUAAGAAGGUUUCAAGAUGUAGUUUAAUAGAUUGCAUUAUUUUCAGCUUAUUAUGUUAGUAGUUUCAAUAUGAAGAAUAACCAGAAUGCACUUAGCUAAUGUUGUAAAGAGACUUUUGUUGAGCAAGGGUACUCGAGUUGCAACGCGCUGCUUAGGUGGGAGAUUCAAAGGAUGCCAUUUUAAAGAAAAAGUAACAGUUGUUUUCAAGGAUGCCAUUGCCUUAAAAUCUGCUUUUGGUAUCAAUCAGUUGUUACAUUUUGGCAAAGUCAUUGAACCUCCUGCUUUAAGUUUAUGACUUGUGUAUUUGAUCACUCAUCUAUAAUUUUAGCUGAUUAAGCUUUUGGGCAACC